CUGACACUCUAAAAUAGGAGUGCAGUUCAUGUCAAAGUACAACCACUUGAAAUAUGGAAGGCUACCUGUGGCUGACAAAGGUUACAAGUACAACGUAAGGCUAUAAGGAUCUGGAAAGAUGAAGGAAAGUAUGAAGUAUAAAUUCGAAACACCAAAAAGGCAUGAAGCUGAAGCCUGUAAUACUAACUUCAGUUACAAGCCAUGAUCUAAGAAGCUCCAAAAGCUGAGACAGGCAAAACGUGGUAACUAGAACAAAGAAAAUUUAAUUAACUGCUAGCCAGUAAUUAAAAAAAUGGGGGGGGAGCUUUUGUUGAAAUAAAGGUCCCAUCUUCUCCCACGAUUUUUUGUAAGCUGUGCCUAGUCUUAUCAAUCUGUCCUUCCUUCUAUUUUGUCUAGGCUGUUUCAUUUGAACUGGACUACAGUAAAGACAAAGAUUCUGUCCCGCCAUACCUCUUUGUUUUACCUACUGUUCUACAAAACGCGCCAAAUCACUACUGACAAGUCAUACAGACUUCUCUACCAAAGCUGAAGAGGAAGAGCUUUUUGGUGCACUACAGCCACUGGAAAAGUUGCAGCUUCCAUCACUAUAAUACUUUCUGAGCUGGCAGGAUGCAUAAAAGACAGAACUGUGCUCCGUUUAAACUAAACAAAUAAAAACAAAAUCAAUAAACUGUAAGCAGAAUAUCAUGGGGGAGGCUGAGUGCACCAAUCUGAUGCAGAUCCAUGAAAAACAUUUCUGCAGGAAUACAAAAUAUAUUGUAAAAAUGAAUUUAAAAAAGCAACAGGACCACAUAUUAUGGAAGCUUGGUUCCUCAGGUCCCUGCUCCCAUGAUGAUCGGGGACUCUGCGUUCCCAAACUCCAGUCAGAAUUAUCUGCAAUCCAGUGGCCACUCCAAUAAGCUUCCCAUGAGAGUCAGUCAGAAGAUUCAGAAAAAAACCUCUACAGUUCAGAAGCGACAGAGUGGAAAGCUUAUCUUCUGCAUUCAUUAAACUCCACACACAAAAU
rnacentral:lncRNA from 1 species